rnacentral:rRNA from 1 species
AAAUUGAAGAGUUUGAUCAUGGCUCAGAUUGAACGCUGGCGGCAGGCCUAACACAUGCAAGUCGAACGGUAACAGGAAGCAGCUUGCUGCUUUGCUGACGAGUGGCGGACGGGUGAGUAAUGUCUGGGAAACUGCCUGAUGGAGGGGGGAUAACUACUGGAAACGGUGGCUAAUACCGCAUAACGUCGCAAGACCAAAGAGGGGUGACCUUCGGGCCUCUUGCCAUCAGAUGUGCCCAGAUGGGAUUAGCUUGUUGGUGAGGUAACGGCUCACCAAGGCGACGAUCCCUAGCUGGUCUGAGAGGAUGACCAGCCACACUGGAACUGAGACACGGUCCAGACUCCUACGGGAGGCAGCAGUGGGGAAUAUUGCACAAUGGGCGCAAGCCUGAUGCAGCCAUGCCGCGUGUAUGAAGAAGGCCUUCGGGUUGUAAAGUACUUUCAGCGGGGAGGAAGGUGUUGUGGUUAAUAACCGCAGCAAUUGACGUUACCCGCAGAAGAAGCACCGGCUAACUCCGUGCCAGCAGCCGCGGUAAUACGGAGGGUGCAAGCGUUAAUCGGAAUUACUGGGCGUAAAGCGCACGCAGGCGGUCUGUCAAGUCGGAUGUGAAAUCCCCGGGCUCAACCUGGGAACUGCAUUCGAAACUGGCAGGCUUGAGUCUUGUAGAGGGGGGUAGAAUUCCAGGUGUAGCGGUGAAAUGCGUAGAGAUCUGGAGGAAUACCGGUGGCGAAGGCGGCCCCCUGGACAAAGACUGACGCUCAGGUGCGAAAGCGUGGGGAGCAAACAGGAUUAGAUACCCUGGUAGUCCACGCCGUAAACGAUGUCUACUUGGAGGUUGUGCCCUUGAGGCGUGGCUUCCGGAGCUAACGCGUUAAGUAGACCGCCUGGGGAGUACGGCCGCAAGGUUAAAACUCAAAUGAAUUGACGGGGGCCCGCACAAGCGGUGGAGCAUGUGGUUUAAUUCGAUGCAACGCGAAGAACCUUACCUGGUCUUGACAUCCACAGAAGAAUCCAGAGAUGGAUUUGUGCCUUCGGGAACUGUGAGACAGGUGCUGCAUGGCUGUCGUCAGCUCGUGUUGUGAAAUGUUGGGUUAAGUCCCGCAACGAGCGCAACCCUUAUCCUUUGUUGCCAGCGGUCCGGCCGGGAACUCAAAGGAGACUGCCAGUGAUAAACUGGAGGAAGGUGGGGAUGACGUCAAGUCAUCAUGGCCCUUACGACCAGGGCUACACACGUGCUACAAUGGCGCAUACAAAGAGAAGCGACCUCGCGAGAGCAAGCGGACCUCAUAAAGUGCGUCGUAGUCCGGAUUGGAGUCUGCAACUCGACUCCAUGAAGUCGGAAUCGCUAGUAAUCGUGGAUCAGAAUGCCACGGUGAAUACGUUCCCGGGCCUUGUACACACCGCCCGUCACACCAUGGGAGUGGGUUGCAAAAGAAGUAGGUAGCUUAACCUUCGGGAGGGCGCUUACCACUUUGUGAUUCAUGACUGGGGUGAAGUCGUAACAAGGUAACCGUAGGGGAACCUGCGGUUGGAUCACCUCCUUA